UACGGAGGGUGCAAGCGUUAUCCGGAUUCACUGGGUUUAAAGGGUGCGUAGGCGGGCAGGUAAGUCAGUGGUGAAAUCUCCGGGCUUAACCCGGAAACUGCCGUUGAUACUAUCUGUCUUGAAUAUCGUGGAGGUAAGCGGAAUAUGUCAUGUAGCGGUGAAAUGCUUAGAUAUGACAUAGAACACCCAUUGCGAAGGCAGCUCGUUACACGAAUAUUGACUCUGAGGCACGAAAGCGUGGGGAUCAAACAGG
rnacentral:rRNA from 1 species